AGGACCCCUGGGUUUCUGACUAUGGUUAGGACAUGUUGGAUCUAUCUGGAGAUGCCUGUGGCUCUGGAAAAUUCCAGGGUGGAGAUGCAGCUUGAUUGCUGAGAUGGGCUCUGCGCCCAGUGGGUGAUUAAUCAGUGGUGUCCUUCUUGACACUGCUCGGCUUCCCAGGGAGAAAAGGCAUUUUCUGAAGAGGGUUUAUUUGGAGAAUCAGCGAUCCACACGGAUGGAAACCCGGCUCCCCAGGCGGCACUCCCCUGGCUGGCCUGGUGGCACCUCUGCCCUGCAGGGCGGCCGAGCCAGCAGCCGAGGCUGGAACUGCCCUCUGCCUAGCUUCCCCGGGUGUCUGCCUCAGCAACUUGCUCUUGGUCUCAUGAUAAAUUCAUUACCAGAAAAUGAAGCUGGAGUUUCCUAGUGACAUAAAAUAUUGAUGAGAGAAAUAAGGACGAAGAUCAAUGAGGCAGGGCUGCUUGCAGGCCCCAUGUGCUAUUCUGCUGGGUUUGCAGACACUUGUUCUCAGUCCUUUCUGAUUUGCUUGGGUGGGGUUUUUUCCUCUUCGUAGGAAGCGUAUCGGAACACCAGUGAAGCGCUCCAAGCCCAACGUCACACCAGAGUGGCGAAAACAGACACGUCUCCUGGUUACUGUCAAAACCUCGAAACCCAGUCCUGCCACUUCACAACCUUCUUGGCAGCUUCUUGGCACCCUCAAGGUGGCACGCAGAAACACAUCGCCCCUGCUCAGACACUGCUCACGGCUUCCAAGGGCUGUGCAAAUAAAAGCUAAACCCCUUAGGAUGCCACUCAAGGCUUUCUGAGACCCUGCUGUAGCCUGCCUGUGGGCCUACCCUCCUUCAUUUUCCCCUGGACCCCACACGUCUGCACAUCUGGUCUCUUCCCCUCUCCAGAGAGCAGCAGCGCCCAAGUGCUGUGCUAUAUCUUGCCUCGACAGGCCCUCCCCAGCCCCUCAGAGGUCAACUCAAAUGCCGCUUUUUUCAUAGACUGUCUUCUUGGCUGUUCUCCUGCUCAGAACUAACUCGUGCAAAGGUAAAACAAAAGGAACAUACCCAGUGUUGGUGAGAGCAUAGAAAAACGAGCCCUCUCCUUCACUGCUCCUGAUGGCAUAAGGGGUCAGCUCUAGGGUUCCGAUCCUUGGGCAGGUUUACGACUCUUGACUUGGCAGCUCCACAUCUAAGCAUCCAGGGGAACAAUUGGGAAGGUGUCGACUUUAAUGCAAGUAUAAGGCUAUUCAUCAUAGUGUUCUUUAAAAUAGUGAAAAAUUGGAAGGACUCUAAAUGUCCUCAAGCAGGGACUUUGUUAAAUAAAUUGUGAUACACCUGU
ensembl:lncRNA